AUUGAACGCUGGCGGCAGGCUUAACACAUGCAAGUCGAGCGGUAACAGAGAGAAGCUUGCUUUUCUGCUGACGAGCGGCGGACGGGUGAGUAAUGCCUAGGAAUCUGCCUAGUAGUGAGGGAUAACUUGCCGAAAGGUAAGCUAAUACCGCAUACGUCCUACGGGAGAAAGGAGGGGACCUUCGGGCCUUUCGCUAUUAGAUGAGCCUAGGUCGGAUUAGUUAGUUGGUGAGGUAAUGGCUCACCAAGACCGCGAUCCGUAACUGGUCUGAAAGGAUGAACAGUCACGCUGGAACUGAGACACGGUCCAGACUCCUACGGGAGGCAGCAGUGGGGAAUAUUGGACAAUGGGGGGAACCCUGAUCCAGCCAUGCCGCGUGUGUGAAGAAGGUCUUAGGAUUGUAAAGCACUUUAAGUUGGGAGGAAGAGCAGUUAACUAAUAUUUGACUGUCUUGACGUUACCGACAGAAUAAGCACCGGCUAACUUCGUGCCAGCCGCCGCGGUAACAC
rnacentral:rRNA from 1 species